AAAUAGUUAACAUAAUUAAAUCUUAUCCAGUCAAAUUUCUAACUGGGGCUUCAAUGUGUUGUCGCUUCACGUCCUCUUCAGCAUUAUGACGGUAGCAGUUUCCAAGGGAAGCAAUUGAUUUCCUACUACCUUUUUCAAACAGUCCUUCACCUACAUUUUCUUUCAAUCUGGUUCUCUUGGUCUCCUCUCCUCUGAUGCUUGUCGAACAAAAUCUGGAAGCCCUCCUACCAGUAAAUGAUCGUUUUUGAUACAAGAAUCCGUCCUUUCUCAUCUUUUACAAACAAUCCUGAUGCUGAUCUGAAAGUCUGUUGAUCAAAGGCCGCGUCAAAGUAGAUUGUGACUCCCGAUCUUCUUCUUUCCUGUACAGCAUUUCCAGUGGACUGAACGCCAAAGGCCGCAGCAAAAAAGACGAA